UGGGAAUAUUGGACAAUGGGCGCAAGCCUGAUCCAGCCAUGCCGCGUGGGUGAAGAAGGCCUUCGGGUUGUAAAGCCCUUUUGUCCGGAAAGAAAAGCACUGGAUUAAUACUUCGGUGUUCUGACGGUACCGGAAGAAUAAGCACCGGCUAACUUCGUGCCAGCAGCCGCGGUAAUACGAAGGGUGCAAGCGUUACUCGGAAUUACUGGGCGUAAAGCGUGCGUAGGUGGUUCGUUAAGUCUGAUGUGAAAGCCCUGGGCUCAACCUGGGAAUUGCAUUGGAUACUGGCGGGCUAGAGUGCGGUAGAGGAUGGCGGAAUUCCCGGUGUAGCAGUGAAAUGCGUAGAGAUCGGGAGGAACAUCUGUGGCGAAGGCGGCCAUCUGGACCAGCACUGACACUGAGGCACGAAAGCGUGGGGAGCAAACA
rnacentral:rRNA from 1 species